rnacentral:lncRNA from 1 species
UAAUUGCCCAAAACCUUCAUCCCAAUUCUUAACCCUCUUCAAAGCACCACACACGCACACACACACACACACACACACACACACACACACACACACACACACACACGCACACACUCGCGCGCGCGCGCGCGCGCGCCACAAUACAAAUUAUCACAGAGAUAGCAUAGUGACCUCCAGAAACCCCGGGCUCUGUGUCUGGAGGCUCUGGGGAAAGGUGAGGGGAAGGAGUCAGAAAAUAAAAAGGGGAAACACUGAACUCCAGAUAGUGGACAAGAAAGGACCCCAAUGAACCCGCUUUGAGAUCCUCUACAUCUACUGGGAAGGGGAGGGGCAGAGCCUUCGUCCAGCCCUGAAUCAAGUCCCCGUUGGAGAGAGAUUCGGGACCCACAGCUCCUAGCCCUAGUCCCUAGACCGAGCUCAGGAGCCAGUCCGCCCCUCGCCGCCUCCCGGACAAAAUGUCAAGUACAAGUUCAAGUUCAGGGCCGUGCCCUGGGGGGCGCAACUCUUUCCCGUCACCGCCUUUUGUUCUUCCUCUGACAAUCGCUCUUUAUUCCCCCUCCGGGGCUGGGCCUGUCUUCUAGCUGCCGCCAGCAAACUCCCCCUGACCCACAGGGGCCAGCGGUGAGACGUUCUUGCAGUCUGGGCUCCUCCUCAGUCGCAGGGGAACUAAGACUUUGGGGGACUAGGAGUGGCUACCAGAAGCCCUUGGGAGAGUUUUACUCUCCUUCCUAUUUCCUCCUCCCAGUUCAAUUCGGGGCAAACUUUCUGUUCAAUCUUGGAGUUCCUUCCCACAAGUUUGGUCGCUUGAGUUCGUUCUCAGAAUGCUGUCCAUCGCUCCUCUUUGUGAAAGAACUGAUCAGAAGAGGCUCACCAGUCACAAAGCGCUUUGUCCCAGCGGCACCUAGUGGUAAAAUCAGGAACUGUAAUUCUUCCAAGCAGUGAAGAGGAAUUUUGUUAGGAGUGGGGUUCAGAUGGGAAUGGGAAGGGUACCCAUAGCCAAUAAUACUCUUUCAGGCCUAAGUCUUUGCCCAAAGGAGUACUAAGAUCUUUGUUACUCUUCCUUCAUGCCCAUUCACCAGAACAUCUCACCCUGCUUCCAAUUCUGCCAUCUCUCUGGGUGGAGGAUUAAACCACUACUUUCCUUUCCUGCUAUAGUCCUCCUGCUUCUGUGGGCACUGGCUCAUUG